rnacentral:tRNA from 1 species
AGUCCUUGUUUUGGUACGUUUUCCCCCUUUUCUGGUUUACAAGACCAGGGUAAUGUGGGGACG